rnacentral:lncRNA from 1 species
CUGCCAUCUCGGGAUGGAGGGACUGCGGUGUGCCAGAGUAUAGAAAACUUCAAAUGGUACUUCCUGAAGUCCUCCCCUCUACCCAGGACCCCAUGGGCAGCAUGUGACACUUGGCCCUCGUGUCUCGAAGCCUCCUCCUGGCUGUGAGGCUCUCACUGUCCUUGGCUUCGACCUUGAAAGUUCUGAGGGGGCAAGUCAGGCACAUCUUAGAUGUCCUUAGAUGGAAUGCUUCUCACGUGUCCGUGCAUGGGUUGGGGGUGGAGUUGUCAGGAGGAAGCCCCAGAGGGGACGUGCUGCAUUUAUGACAUCCUACCAGGCGCACAUACCAACCCAACUGGAUAUCAUGAUGCUUGGCACCUGGGCCACCUGGGGAGGUGUGCUCAGCAGGUCUCUCUGCAGUGACUCUCCCUUUCCUCGGUGCUCUCUGGAAGCAGGUGGCUCUGCAUGGCCCAAGCUCAGGUGGGGAGCGUUGCUCCUGUUCCCCGAGGACAUGGGAUUCUGUAGAAGUGACAUGGGAUUCUGCCACAGUGGGGGCUUUGUCCGUUCCCCACUUACUUGCUGACCAGAUGCUUGCUUAAUGGCGGUGUGAACUCACAGGUGUAUUUUGUACUUGGGCUCUAGCCCAGGGCUGCUCCUCUGUUGCUGAGGCUGUCCCAGCCUCCUCAUAGCCCCUGGGUCCCUCUGACCUGUGUGUCAGGGCGGGGUCACUGGGUGCUUCUGAGUGCUUCUCUUGCAGGCAUCAGUAGGUGCUUCCUGCUCAGGCCCGCCACCCGCUGCUUCUCCAAGGAGCCCUGGUUCUUUGCCUUAGAGGGGUGAUGCCAAGCUUUGGCACUGGGGCGCCGUUCACUCCUGGGGAGUCAGCUGGCAGAGAGACGCCCACGUGUGUGCUGGCCUGUGCCGUUCACAUGGGGUUGGUGGGGAGUGGUUCCCCAGACGCCUCACUUCUGCCACCAGUUGCCAGUGUUGGCUCAGGACUGCUCACUCUCCGGCUUGGUGGUCUCUGGAAGGUCUUGCUGGACUCCUUGGUCACAGUUGUAUAGCAGAGGCGUAGAGGCUAAAGCCAGCUGAGUUGUCAAGACACAAGGCCAGAGUACAGGGAGGCCUGGGUGGGCUUCCAGCCAUCCCCUCCCCGUGGAGUCUGGAGAGCUGGUGGGGGAGGCCCAGUCCACUCUGAGCCUCACAGGCGGCUCCCACAGCCAGCGAGGCAGCGGAGCCAGCUGCUUGUCCACUGGGAGAGAAGCUCCACUGCAUGGUGGCCCCAGAGGCACUGGGCCUCCACUGCCCCUUGCCCCACUUGCCUCUGCCUCAUUGGAUGAUUCCUGGGGCCUCUGGAGGGAGGAGCAGGCGGGCGAGGACUCGAGGUGCCUCCUGGUAUUCUGGGUCAGGAGCCCGGCCAGGGCUAGAGUCGUAGAAAGCUGGAGCUCAGGCACUAUUUUGAGUAGACACUGAAUGUCUUUCAUUCAUAUUUUAAAAGAAACAUGAAUAAGAAAUCAGGUCUCCUGUUCUGGAGGCUAAAUUUAGGUGCUGGCCUGGGGCUUGGUGGUUUUCUGUCCUCUCCCUGGGCCACCUCCCUCUGGGGUGUCUGGCUCUGCCUGGCAGCUCCCUGGGGAGAAGCCCAGUGGAUGUCCCAUCACAGUCUUCCCUCCCGCUGACCACAGGGCGGGUGGGCAGAGCUGCCCGAUACUGUCCCCAGGAGGUGUGGGAGCUCUGCUAGGCAUUCCCACCCGCCCCUCAGUCUGGCCCCCUGAGGUGGUCUGAAGCUUCCCAGGAAGUGGCAUGUCACAGUGGCCUGGUCUGUGCCCGAGCCUCGUGGUGGACUGCGUCUCCCCUUCCUGGAGCAUCCCUCAGCUCCUGCAGGGGGGUCACAGCAGAGUGGCAGGUGGAGCACUCCUCAGUCACAGAGCAUGGCCCUCUAGAGAGGUCAGAGGAUGGCAGAUGUUGGGGACUUGCCUGUUGUGGCAGCAGUGGUGUAGACUUCCCAAGCAGGCCCUCUGCCCUGGCAGUCAGUCUCACGUGUCCCCUGGGCCCAGGGUCUUUACUGGCUGUCCAUCUGGAUGGCGUGCUCUUGGGCUCAGGCCUGGUGGGUGGGGGAUUCAG